CGAGGAUCUUCGGCAAUGGGCGCAAGCCUGACCGAGCGACGCCGCGUGUGCGAUGAAGGCCUUCGGGUUGUAAAGCACUGUCGAGGGGGAUAAAGCCGAAAGGUUGAUAGAUCCCUGGAGGAAGCACGGGCUAAGUUCGUGCCAGCAGCCGCGGUAAGACGAACCGUGCAAACGUUAUUCGGAAUCACUGGGCUUAAAGGGCGCGUAGGCGGGUUCGCAAGUCUGUGGUGAAAUCCCCCGGCUCAACCGGGGAACUGCCGUGGAUACUGCGAAUCUCGAGGGGUGUAGGGGCAUGCGGAACUCAGGGUGGAGCGGUGAAAUGCGUAGAUAUCCUGAGGAACGCCGGUGGCGAAAGCGGCGUGCUGGACACCUUCUGACGCUGAGGCGCGAAAGCCAGGGGAGCAAACGGGAUUAGAUACCCCGGUAGUCCUGGCCCUAAACGAUGGGUACUAGAUUGUGGACUGGACAUGGGUUCACAGUCGAAGCAAAAGUGAUAAGUACCCCGCCUGGGGAGUAUGGUCGCAAGGCUG
rnacentral:rRNA from 1 species